CAGUCGCCGCGGUAAUACGGAGGGAGCUAGCGUUAUUCGGAAUUACUGGGCGUAAAGCGCACGUAGGCGGCUUUGUAAGUUAGGGGUGAAAGCCUGGUGCUCAACACCAGAACUGCCUUUGAUACUGCAUCGCUUGAAUCCAGGAGAGGUGAGUGGAAUUCCGAGUGUAAAGGUGAAAUUCGUAGAUACUCGGAAGAACACCAGUGGCGAAGGCGGCUCACUGGACUGGUAUUGACGCUGAGGUGCGAAAGCGUGGGGAGCAAACAGGAUUAGAUACCCCUGUAGUCCCUGUCUCUUAUAC
rnacentral:rRNA from 1 species